rnacentral:rRNA from 1 species
AUACGGAGGGUGCAAGCGUUAAUCGGAAUUACUGGGCGUAAAGAGUACGUAGGUGGUCUAUUAAGUCAGAUGUGAAAGCCCCGGGCUUAACCUGGGAACUGCAUUUGAAACUAGUAGACUAGAGUAUGGUAGAGGGGGGUAGAAUUCCUAGUGUAGCGGUGAAAUGCGUAGAUAUUAGGAGGAAUACCAGUGGCGAAGGCGGCCCCCUGGACCAAUACUGACGCUGAGGUACGAAAGCGUGGGGAGCGAACAGGAUUAGAAACCCGAGUAGUCC